rnacentral:rRNA from 1 species
AUUGAACGCUGGCGGCAGGCCUAACACAUGCAAGUCGAGCGGAUGACGGGAGCUUGCUCCUUGAUUCAGCGGCGGACGGGUGAGUAAUGCCUAGGAAUCUGCCUGGUAGUGGGGGACAACGUUUCGAAAGGAACGCUAAUACCGCAUACGUCCUACGAGAGAAAGCAGGGGACCUUCGGGCCUUGCGCUAUCAGAUGAGCCUAGGUCGGAUUAGCUAGUUGGUGGGGUAAUGGCUCACCAAGGCGACGAUCCGUAACUGGUCUGAGAGGAUGAUCAGUCACACUGGAACUGAGACACGGUCCAGACUCCUACGGGAGGCAGCAGUGGGGAAUAUUGGACAAUGGGCGAAAGCCUGAUCCAGCCAUGCCGCGUGUGUGAAGAAGGUCUUCGGAUUGUAAAGCACUUUAAGUUGGGAGGAAGGGCAGUAAGCUAAUACCUUGCUGUUUUGACGUUACCGACAGAAUAAGCACCGGCUAACUCUGUGCCAGCAGCCGCGGUAAUAC